rnacentral:rRNA from 1 species
UUCUGGCUCAGAACGAACGCUGGCGGCGUGGAUAAGACAUGCAAGUCGAACGAUCACUAUUGGGUAGCAAUAUUCGGUAGUGGGAGUGGCGCAAGGGUGCGUAACACGUGGGUAAUUUGCCGUAAAGUCUGGGAUAACUUGCUGAAAGGCGAGCUAAUACCGGAUGUGAUUACUGGAAGGCAUCUUCUGGUACUUAAAGUCGGGGACCGUAAGGCCUGACGCUUCUCGAUAAGCCCGCGGCCUAUCAGCUAGUUGGUGAGGUAACGGCUCACCAAGGCUAAGACGGGUAGCUGGUCUGAGAGGACGACCAGCCACACUGGAACUGAGACACGGUCCAGACACCUACGGGUGGCAGCAGUCGAGAAUUUUUCUCAAUGGGGGAAACCCUGAAGGAGCGACGCCGCGUGGGGGAUGAAUGGCUUCGGCCCGUAAACCCCUGUCAUUUGCGAUCAAACCUUACGACCUAACACGUCGUGAGCUGAUAGUAGCGGAAGAGGAAGGGACGGCUAACUCUGUGCCAGCAGCCGCGGUAAUACAGAGGUCCCAAGCGUUGUUCGGAUUCACUGGGCGUAAAGGGUGCGUAGGCGGUCGGGUAAGUCUGACGUGAAAUCUUCAAGCUCAACUUGGAAACUGCGUCGGAUACUAUUCGGCUAGAGGAAUGGAGGGGAGACUGGAAUACUUGGUGUAGCAGUGAAAUGCGUAGAUAUCAAGUGGAACACCAGUGGCGAAGGCGAGUCUCUGGACAAUUCCUGACACUGAUGCUCGAAAGCUAGGGGAGCAAACGGGAUUAGAUACCCCGGUAGUCCUAGCUGUAAACGGUGCGCGCUUGCUGUAGGUGGAUUCGACCCCGCCUGUAGCGAAGCUAACGCGUUAAGCGCGCCGCCUGGGAAGUACGGUCGCAAGAUUAAAACUCAAAGAAAUUGACGGGGGCCCG